CCGUGUACGAGGAAGGAGUAUAUUUCGCUGUCUUCCGUGUUCCCGAAGAGCCCUUCUGAGAGCGCCAUCUCCCCCCUCUCCCCCCCCGAUCUCCAACCCCCCUUCCUCGCAUAACUGCUGCGUCGGGACAGCCGUUCAAACGCCACCGAGGAUUGGAACUAACGAUGUGUCUUAUGAAUGCCGUUGUUAUUUAGCGCGUUUAUGGUGAAUGUGACGGAGAAUAUUCUUAGAGAUAUACUAUUGGAUAAGUGUCAGUUCGGCAUUGAAGUCUCCCCGUGAACGUCUGUAAUAACGCUUACGUACACGAAUAUUUUAAGGUGGCAGGCCGGGCGCUGGGUGACGUCAUCAUGUCCCGCUACAUACUUCUCCUCGCGACCUUAGUGGCGGUGACUACCGCGCAGAGCUACCUAUCAGACUUCGCCCUCGAGCGGCCGGCGAACUUACCCUCCAUCAGGCAACUGGAGGUGAUGUGCGGCAAGGACCA
rnacentral:lncRNA from 1 species